UACAGAGGUCUCAAGCGUUGUUCGGAUUCAUUGGGCGUAAAGGGCUCGUAGGCGGCCAACUAAGUCGGAUGUGAAAUCCCCAGGCUUAACCUGGGAACUGCAUCCGAUACUGGAUGGCUUGAAUUCGGGAGAGGGAUGCAGAAUUCCAGGUGUAGCGGUGAAAUGCGUAGAUAUCUGGAGGAAUACCGGUGGCGAAGGCGGCAUCCUGGACCGACAUUGACGCUGAGGAGCGAAAGCUAGGGGAGCAAACGGG
rnacentral:rRNA from 1 species